UCGCUCACGGCGCAGAGCUUAGCUAAUCGGUGAGCAUUGAUCCCUUAAGAAAACUGUUCACAGUGGCUAAGUUCAGUGUCUGGA
rnacentral:pre_miRNA from 8 species